UGUCUAGGAGGUUGCACAGUUGUCUCUCUUCUGGUUUGUAUAAUUAGUUUUCAAGUCAAAGAUGUCUGACUAUGUUUAGUUCGUUUUUGGUGUACGUACCCUGAGAGCAAUGUCACUUCAGGUAUCUCACAAAUGUAUUCAUUAGGUUCAUUAUGGAUUGGUGAUACAUUUUGUAAUUGAAAUUGAGCUUCACCAAUGUUUUAUUAUUCGGAGAAUGAAUGUUAUGACAACGACCUAGUAGGUUGUGAACUCGGUAAGUUUUGACAAGUGGAUUUUGUUAAGUCGUAUCCUCAGGCAUUGCUACACAUCUUUAUAGUGCUGCAGAAUUCUGGUCAUUUUUAAGUUUCAUGCAUUUUUCUUAUUCAUUUUUCUCACCAAGAGCUUUAUCGGCUAUCAGAUCAAUACGUACAGUGCCGACGUCAAAAGUUUUGAAAGCACAAGGUUGGCCAUUGCGGCUGCGGUUGGUCACUCUGGCCCAAUUGAGGUGUUGUUACUUAGUCAUGGAGUCUCUAGAGUCCUUACAUUUGAUGACUCAACUAUUGAGGACUUUGAUCACAUCCUUGACACUAAUUUGAAGGGAAACAUUCACACUAUUAAGGCUGCUCUACCCCAUAUCAAAUCCAGCAAGGCAGUUCCGGCAGCAAUAUCUAUUUUCUCUUCUCAAGCUGGUCUGGUAUGAUUUCUCUCAUUUUAUGCUAUUCUGUAGUCUACACUGAAGCCCCUUAAGAUGUGAAAGUUAGUGACUAAAUUCACUUACCAAUAAUGUUCAAUUUCGCGACGCAAAAUGCAUGGAUAGUUCGAUGAAUGUGCUUCUUUGGUUCUUGCAAAUGAGAUCCCUUUGAUUUACUAUUCUUUGUAUUCAAUAGAAAUGAUUACUUGCGGCUGCAGGUUGGAGU
rnacentral:lncRNA from 1 species